rnacentral:rRNA from 1 species
AGCGAACGCUGGCGGCAGGCUUAACACAUGCAAGUCGAGCGGGCAUCCUUGUGGUGUCAGCGGCUGACGGGUGCGUAACGCGUGGGAACGUGCCCUUCGUUUCGAACUAACUCAUGGAAACUUGAGCUAAUACCGGAUACGUGCUAGUGCAGAAAGGUUUAUCUGCCGAAGGAUCGGCCCUCGUCUGAUUUGCUAGUUUGUGAUGUUAUGGCUCACCAAUGCGACGAUCAGUAGAUAGUCUGAGAGGAUGAGCAGCCACACUGGGACUGAGACACGGCCCAGACUCCUACGGGAGGCAGCAGUGGGGAAUAUAGGAAAAUGGGGGCAACCAUGAACGAGCCAUGCCGCGUGAGUGAUGACGGCCUUAGGGUUGUAAAGCUCUUUUAUCCGGGACGAUAAUGACGGUACCGGAGGAAUAAGCCCCGGCUAACUUCGUG